rnacentral:rRNA from 1 species
UACGGGAGGCAGCAGUGGGGAAUAUUGCACAAUGGGCGAAAGCCUGAUGCAGCGACGCCGCGUGAGGGAUGACGGCCUUCGGGUUGUAAACCUCUUUCAGCAGGGAAGAAGCGCAAGUGACGGUACCUGCAGAAGAAGCGCCGGCUAACUACGUGCCAGCAGCCGCGGUAAUACGUAGGGCGCAAGCGUUGUCCGGAAUUAUUGGGCGUAAAGAGCUCGUAGGCGGCUUGUCACGUCGGAUGUGAAAGCCCGGGGCUUAACCCCGGGUCUGCAUUCGAUACGGGCUAGCUAGAGUGUGGUAGGGGAGAUCGGAAUUCCUGGUGUAGCGGUGAAAUGCGCAGAUAUCAGGAGGAACACCGGUGGCGAAGGCGGAUCUCUGGGCCAUUACUGACGCUGAGGAGCGAAAGCGUGGGGAGCGAACAGGAUUAGAUACCCUGGUAGUCCACGCCGUAAACGUUGGGAACUAGGUGUUGGCGACAUUCCACGUCGUCGGUGCCGCAGCUAACGCAUUAAGUUCCCCGCCUGGGGAGUACGGCCGCAAGGCUAAAACUCAAAGGAAUUGACGGGGGGCCCGCACAAGCAGCGGAGCAUGUGGCUUAAUUCGACGCAACGCGAAGAACCUUACCAAGGCUUGACAUAUACCGGAAAGCAUCAGAGAUGGUGCCCCCCUUGUGGUCGGUAUACAGGUGGUGCAUGGCUGUCGUCAGCUCGUGUCGUGAGAUGUUGGGUUAAGUCCCGCAACGAGCGCAACCCUUGUUCUGUGUUGCCAGCAUGCCUUUCGGGGUGAUGGGGACUCACAGGAGACUGCCGGGGUCAACUCGGAGGAAGGUGGGGACGACGUCAAGUCAUCAUGCCCCUUAUGUCUUGGGCUGCACACGUGCUACAAUGGCCGGUACAAUGAGCUGCGAUGCCGUGAGGCGGAGCGAAUCUCAAAAAGCCGGUCUCAGUUCGGAUUGGGGUCUGCAACUCGACCCCAUGAAGUCGGAGUUGCUAGUAAUCGCAGAUCAGCAUUGCUGCGGUGAAUACGUUCCCGGGCCUUGUACACACCGCCCGUC